rnacentral:rRNA from 1 species
AUUGAACGCUGGCGGCAUGCCUCACACAUGCAAGUCGAACGGCAGCACGGGUGCUUGCACCUGGUGGCGAGUGGCGAACGGGUGAGUAAUACAUCGGAACAUGUCCUGUAGUGGGGGAUAGCCCGGCGAAAGCCGGAUUAAUACCGCAUACGAUCUACGGAUGAAAGCGGGGGACCUUCGGGCCUCGCGCUAUAGGGUUGGCCGAUGGCUGAUUAGCUAGUUGGUGGGGUAAAGGCCUACCAAGGCGACGAUCAGUAGCUGGUCUGAGAGGACGACCAGCCACACUGGGACUGAGACACGGCCCAGACUCCUACGGGAGGCAGCAGUGGGGAAUUUUGGACAAUGGGCGAAAGCCUGAUCCAGCAAUGCCGCGUGUGUGAAGAAGGCCUUCGGGUUGUAAAGCACUUUUGUCCGGAAAGAAAUCCUUGGCCCUAAUACGGUCGGGGGAUGACGGUACCGGAAGAAUAAGCACCGGCUAACUACGUG